AACGAACGCUGGCGGCAGGCUUAACACAUGCAAGUCGAGCGCCCCGCAAGGGGAGCGGCAGACGGGUGAGUAACGCGUGGGAAUCUACCGAGCCCUACGGAAUAGCUCCGGGAAACUGGAAUUAAUACCGUAUACGCCCUUCGGGGGAAAGUUUUAUCGGGGUUUGAUGAGCCCGCGUUGGAUUAGCUAGUUGGUGGGGUAAAGGCCUACCAACGCAACGAUCCAUAGCUGGUUUGAAAGGAUGAUCAGCCACAUUGGGACUGAGACACGGCCCAAAUUCCUAAGGGCGGCAGCAGGGGGGAAUAUGGGACAAUGGGCGCAAGCCUGAUCCAGCCAUGCCGCGUGAGUGAUGAAGGCCCUAGGGUUGUAAAGCUCUUUCCCCGGUGAAGAUAAGGACGGUAACCGGAGAAGAACCCCCGGCUAACUUCGUGCCAGCCGCCGCCGUAA
rnacentral:rRNA from 1 species